rnacentral:rRNA from 1 species
GAUGAACGCUAGCGGCAGGCUUAAUACAUGCAAGUCGAGGGGCAGCAUGAGUGUAGCAAUACAUUUGAUGGCGACCGGCAAACGGGUGCGGAACACGUACUGAACCUUCCUUUAAGUGGGGAAUAGCCCAGGGAAAAUUGGAUUAAUACCCCGUAACAUAAUGAAGUGGCAUCACUUUAUUAUUAUAGCUCCGUCGCUUAAAGAUGGCAGUGCGGCUGAUGAGGUAGUUGGCGGGGUAACGGCCCACCAAGCCUGCGAUCAGUAACUGGUGUGAGAGAACGACCAGUCACACGGGCACUGAGACACGGGCCCGACUCCUACGGGAGGCAGCAGUAAGGAAUAUUGGGCAAUGGACGCAAGUCUGACCCAGCCAUGCCGCGUGGAGGAUGAAGGUCCUCUGGAUUGUAAACUUCUUUUAUAUGGGACGAAAAAGGGUCUUUCUAGAUCAACUGACGGUACCAUAUGAAUAAGCACCGGCUAACUUCGUGCCAGCAGCCGCCGUAAGAC